rnacentral:rRNA from 1 species
AGGCGAGGCUGAAAAGCGUAGUCGAUGGGAAACGGGUUAAUAUUCCCGUACUUGGUAAAGCUGCGAUGUGGGGACGGAGCAGGUUAGGUUAGCGUACUGUUGGAUAUGUACGUUUAAGUUGGUAGGUGGGAAGUUUAGGCAAAUCCGGACUUCCUUAACACUGAGAGAUGAUGACGAGGCUCUACGGAGCUGAAGUAACUGAUACCACACUUCCAGGAAAAGCCACUAAGCGAAAGGCUUUACUAAACCGUACUGAAAACCGACACAGGUGGUCAGGUAGAGAAUACUCAGGCGCUUGAGAGAACUCGGGUGAAGGAACUAGGCAAAAUAGCACCGUAACUUCGGGAGAAGGUGCGCCGGCGUAGAUUGUAAGGGCUUGCCCCUGAAGGUUGAACCGGUCGAAGAUACCAGCUGGCUGCAACUGUUUAUUAAAAACACAGCACUCUGCAAACACGAAAGUGGACGUAUAGGGUGUGACGCCUGCCCGGUGCUGGAAGGUUAAUUGAAGAUGUGCAAGCAUCGGAUCGAAGCCCCAGUAAACGGCGGCCGUAACUAUAACGGUCCUAAGGUAGCGAAAUUCCUUGUCGGGUAAGUUCCGACCUGCACGAAUGGCAUAAUGAUGGCCAGGCUGUCUCCACCCGAGACUCAGUGAAAUUGAAAUCGCCGUGAAGAUGCGGUGUACCCGCGGCUAGACGGAAAGACCCCGUGAACCUUUACUAUAGCUUGACACUGAACAUUGAAUUUUGAUGUGUAGGAUAGGUGGGAGACUUUGAAGUAGUCACGCCAGUGAUUAUGGAGUCGUCCUUGAAAUACCACCCUUUAACGUUUGAUGUUCUAACGAAGAUUGCGAAACGUGGUCUCGGACAGUGUCUGGUGGGUAGUUUGACUGGGGCGGUCUCCUCCCAAAGCGUAACGGAGGAGCACGAAGGUUUGCUAAUCACGGUCGGACAUCGUGAGGUUAGUGCAAUGGUAUAAGCAAGCUUAACUGCGAGACAGACAAGUCGAGCAGGUACGAAAGUAGGUCAUAGUGAUCCGGUGGUUCUGCAUGGAAGGGCCAUCGCUCAACGGAUAAAAGGUACUCCGGGGAUAACAGGCUGAUACCGCCCAAGAGUUCAUAUCGACGGCGGUGUUUGGCACCUCGAUGUCGGCUCAUCACAUCCUGGGGCUGAAGUAGGUCCCAAGGGUAUGGCUGUUCGCCAUUUAAAGUGGUACGCGAGCUGGGUUUAGAACGUCGUGAGACAGUUCGGUCCCUAUCUGCCGUGGGCGUUGGAGAAUUGAUUGGGGCUGCUCCUAGUACGAGAGGACCGGAGUGGACGCAUCACUGGUGUUCCGGUUGUGUCGCCAGACGCAUUGCCGGGUAGCUACAUGCGGAAGAGAUAAGUGCUGAAAGCAUCUAAGCACGAAACUUGCCAAGAGAUGAGUUCUCCCACACAUCAAGUGUGUAAGGGUUGUUUAAGACUAAGACGUAGAUAGGUGCGGUGUGUAAGUGUAGUGAUACAUUGAGCUAACGCAUACUAAUUGCCCGAGAGGCUUAGCCAU